GAUGAACGCUGGCGGCGUGCCUAAUACAUGCAAGUCGAGCGAACAGAUGAGGAGCUUGCUCCUCUGACGUUAGCGGCGGACGGGUGAGUAACACGUGGAUAACCUACCUAUAAGACUGGGAUAACUUCGGGAAACCGGAGCUAAUACCGGAUAAUAUAUUGAGCCGCAUGGUUCAAUAGUGAAAGACGGUUUUGCUGUCACUUAUAGAUGGAUCCGCGUCGCAUUAGCUAGUUGGUAAGGUAACGGCUUACCAAGGCAACGAUGCGUAGCCGACCUGAGAGGGUGAUCGGCCACACUGGAACUGAGACACGGUCCAGACUCCUACGGGAGGCAGCAGUAGGGAAUCUUCCGCAAUGGGCGAAAGCCUGACGGAGCAACGCCGCGUGAGUGAUGAAGGUCUUCGGAUCGUAAAACUCUGUUAUUAGGGAAGAACAAAUGUGUAAGUAACUAUGCACGUCUUGACGGUACCUAAUCAGAAAGCCACGGCUAACUACGUG
rnacentral:rRNA from 1 species